rnacentral:lncRNA from 1 species
CUUUUGGAAUAACGUUUUAUCAUUAUUGAAGUUUAGUUUUUUUGGCACAAAUAAAAGAAUAGAUAUUUUUUUUCAAAAUAAGGGCAUAUCCAAUGCAACCCCUCUUUGAAGUCCUCUAAAAAAAAGUAAAAUUCACCCGUAUUGGUAUGCUGGUGUACGUAUAUCACACGUUCCGUCUACAAUAUACUGAAAUGACACGGCC